UUGGAUGGAUUCAACUGGGCGGUAUGGAUGUACUUUGGCGAGAUGGUAACUUGUAUUAUUAGUCACACUCCAUCACCGUAGCGGCUUUAUUGCGCCAUGUGUAAUUACGCGCAUCCCGUCAAGGUAAAUUAAGGAUGUAAUUAAGUAGCGGGAGGCCGGAAGAGGGGCCGUAACCGUAGCAACAAGCACUCGACUGCCCACUGUGGGUCGCAGUAGGAAAAAAAAUGAACUACUUCAAUCUGAAUACACUAUACUUCAACGCUUCAUUGUUGAAUUCUUUUAGAAUAUUUGAAUCUACGGAUCUUAACAUGGCGGCCAAUCAGAAAAAUAUGAAGUAAGGGGCGACAUCCUUCACUCAGACUGCAUGCGGCCGUGGCUUUUAUGAGCGCUCGGCUCAGCUGCCAGAAAACGCACCAGACUGGAGAAAAUUGUUGACAGUGGUCUAAAUCUUGUUGCCCCGGGCAACCGCUGGGUAGGAGAGGAGGGGGUGACUGUCACCGCACAGCCCUGCCGUGUGACUCUUUUGAAGCCGAAGCGCUCGGAUGGCUGAUGAGCGGCGGCCACAAUGGCUCCGACUUUUACGGUGGCCAUCAUUAAGCUGCUUAAGGACUUUUGGGUCAACUCAAGCAUUCGAUGCUGCGACAUGCCGUGACGGAGGAAGAGCUGGCGAGUUGGCGGCGCAUCGACACACCGUCCAUGCAAAUGAUUUUGCCGGAAGAAGAGCAAUAAACAAGGAUUCCAAAAUCAUGAUGCAGUUUUUCCAUCACAGGUGCCUCACAAUCUAUGUCGGAGUCCAAACUUUGAUUGCUUUUUCCUGAAAAUCUUCUCCAAGCACCUGCGGGACCAAACGAGCAGAUGCACAUCGGGAUGAGACAGGAGCAGAGCAGUCUGAACUGGUUUUGUCCAGUUUGAACAAUGCUCAGGGUGCAAGCAGAUUGAGAUGCAAGAGGAGGAGGCGGUUUACUUCAGUAAACAACUCAGGUUCAGGAGUGUCCACAUGUCCCGGAUGUCGAUCUCGAGGUUUGCAUGUGGUUACAGCUGAAACAGACCAACACAGAAAGAAUCAUGUCAUUUAUUCCAACAAUGAGCAAUAAAGUGAACGAGGAGCACACUUUUGGGACAACGGUGUCCAGUUCUGCGGCACAAUAAAAGUUGGUCUUAUAAAAAAAAUAAAAAAAACUUAACGAUUCCACAUCGAGCUGCCAGGAGGAAGGAAGGAAAGGACACCUUGGUGGCCUCUCGCAAGGAGGCGACUGGCCUGACUGUGGAUUUAUUUCUAUUACGUAAGGUCUCAAAUAACUGGCAAGAAGCGGGAAAUUUUUUUUUCAAUGAUGUUAGUAACUCCUAAGAAAAAGUGUAGCCUCAAAAGUGACCUUUGCAAAACUUUCUGUAAAAGCUACCCACUAAAUUGUCCCCAUCGCACAUUGGGAGGCUCAACGAGUUCAUCUUAUAUACCGUGUUGACCUUCGUUUCAUAAAACCAUAUCAGAAGAUUGUGGUUCUCAUCGCCGGGUCGCAAUUUCCACUAGAAGCGCUCUCUGCUCUUUUUUUUUUUUCUCCCCCCUCUAAAUGGGCCUCUUUGCGCUCAGCGUGUCACCAUCGGCGGUAAUGAAAGGAAUCACGAGAAGGCGCCUGAUUGGAUGGUGCAGUGUUUGCAAGGACUUCAUUUCCCCUCUCAAGUGUACUCCUAUCGAUUGCAAAGCCAUAAAAGGAGGUUCACCUUGACAGAACGGCGUCACGUCAAAUGCGCAGGCUUGAUUGAUUUUGCUGGACCAAGUCGUCUCCGCUGCGCUUGGGAAGCCGAACGGUACCCAUUAAAAUUGGAGCUGCGGGCAAAACAUUCAUCCUAUGCUUUAGUUCAUGUGUUCAUGUGCUAUACUGAUUUUGCAAUGUCAAUUUUCAUGAUGUAAAUGCAAUGAGAGAUGGCGUCAAAUAUCACAUCACAACUUGAUAUUUUGCUCCAAGUUGUGUAGCUUGCGAUGUAGAGAACAUGCUGGAUGUGGUGCUAACCCAAUCCGAGCUCGGGGGACCUUCUCACAAGACCCUUCCUGGUGCCGGGAAGCCGCGGCCUUACCGCGAGUUGAUUUCAGUGCAGUUGAUUUCAACUCGCUAAGGGUGACGACGAAGGAAGCCAAUUUGUCUCCUUGGAAUCAAUCACAUGCAAGUCAUUUAUGUGUCCUCGUAAAAACUUCAGUGCAGAAAUAAAAACGUGGCAAUAUUUGGUGCCAUAAAGACUGGCUGCUUGUUGAUGAGGCACGAUGGUCCUGCAGCUACAGUUGCAAUGAAACUUGGAGUUAAUGGGGGGCACGGAAAUGCCAAUCAUUUCGUUACGACUCUGCCUCGCUCAAUUCCCAAUCAGACGGACAAACAGGAAAUGAAGAAAAUCUUCCAUUGUGUGAGGUUAAAGUUAAGAAGUGGAUUUGUUCUGUCAGCAUAUGCAAAUGUUGGCUGGAGAGGGGCGCCCUAUAAAAUGUGCCCUGAAGCGCCACAUUAGCUUGGGCUGGCCCUGCUAUCACAG